rnacentral:rRNA from 1 species
CCCUUAGAUGUCCGGGGCCGCACGCGCGCUACACUGAAGGAAUCAGCGUGGCUUUCUCCCUGACCCGAAAGGGUUGGGAAACCCGUUGAAUCUCCUUCGUGAUAGGGAUUGGGGCUUGAAAUUGUUCCCCAUGAACGAGGAAUUCCCAGUAAGCGCGAGUCAUAAGCUCGCGUUGAUUACGUCCCUGCCCUUUGUACACUCCGCCCGUCGCUACUACCGAUUGAACGGUUUAGUGAGGGCCUCGGAUUGGUCUCGGCCCGCUCUUUACCGGGCGGCGCCGUUGGUCGAGAAGACGCUCGAACUUGAUCGUUUAGAGGAAGUAAAAGUCGUAACA